UUGAACGCUGGCGGCAGGCCUAACACAUGCAAGUCGAACGGUAACAGGAAACAGCUUGCUGUUUCGCUGACGAGUGGCGGACGGGUGAGUAAUGUCUGGGAAACUGCCUGAUGGAGGGGGAUAACUACUGGAAACGGUAGCUAAUACCGCAUAACGUCGCAAGACCAAAGAGGGGGACCUUCGGGCCUCUUGCCAUCGGAUGUGCCCAGAUGGGAUUAGCUUGUUGGUGGGGUAACGGCUCACCAAGGCGACGAUCCCUAGCUGGUCUGAGAGGAUGACCAGCCACACUGGAACUGAGACACGGUCCAGACUCCUACGGGAGGCAGCAGUGGGGAAUAUUGCACAAUGGGCGCAAGCCUGAUGCAGCCAUGCCGCGUGUAUGAAGAAGGCCUUCGGGUUGUAAAGUACUUUCAGCGGGGAGGAAGGGAGUAAAGUUAAUACCUUUGCUCAUUGACGUUACCCGCAGAAGAAGCACCGGCUAACUCCGUGCCAGCAGCCGCGGUAAUACGGAGGGUGCAAGCGUUAAUCGGAAUUACUGGGCGUAAAGCGCACGCAGGCGGUUUGUUAAGUCAGAUGUGAAAUCCCCGGGCUCAACCUGGGAACUGCAUCUGAUACUGGCAAGCUUGAGUCUCGUAGAGGGGGGUAGAAUUCCAGGUGUAGCGGUGAAAUGCGUAGAGAUCUGGAGGAAUACCGGUGGCGAAGGCGGCCCCCUGGACGAAGACUGACGCUCAGGUGCGAAAGCGUGGGGAGCAAACAGGAUUGGAUACCCUGGUAGUCCACGCCGUAAACGAUGUCGACUUGGAGGUUGUGCCCUUGAGGCGUGGCUUCCGGAGCUAACGCGUUAAGUCGACCGCCUGGGGAGUACGGCCGCAAGGUUAAAACUCAAAUGAAUUGACGGGGGCCCGCACAAGCGGUGGAGCAUGUGGUUUAAUUCGAUGCAACGCGAAGAACCUUACCUGGUCUUGACAUCCACGGAAGUUUUCAGAGAUGAGAAUGUGCCUUCGGGAACCGUGAGACAGGUGCUGCAUGGCUGUCGUCAGCUCGUGUUGUGAAAUGUUGGGUUAAGUCCCGCAACGAGCGCAACCCUUAUCCUUUGUUGCCAGCGGUCCGGCCGGGAACUCAAAGGAGACUGCCAGUGAUAAACUGGAGGAAGGUGGGGAUGACGUCAAGUCAUCAUGGCCCUUACGACCAGGGCUACACACGUGCUACAAUGGCGCAUACAAAGAGAAGCGACCUCGCGAGAGCAAGCGGACCUCAUAAAGUGCGUCGUAGUCCGGAUUGGAGUCUGCAACUCGACUCCAUGAAGUCGGAAUCGCUAGUAAUCGUGGAUCAGAAUGCCACGGUGAAUACGUUCCCGGGCCUUGUACACACCGCCCGUCACACCAUGGGAGUGGGUUGCAAAAGAAGUAGGUAGCUUAACCUUCGGGAGGGCGCUUACCACUUUGUGAUUCAUGACUGGGGUG
rnacentral:rRNA from 1 species